CAUUUGGCGGGAUCUGUGUCUCUCGCUGGUGCUGGCACAGGAGCUUGGGAUCUGUCUCCUCUUUCGCCUCCUGCACCUUGAGAGCCCUGGGCUACUCUCCCACAGCCCCUGUUGCCCUGUGAUCUGUAGGUCCUUGGGGACGCAUAGUCAAGGUGCCAGGACAUCCUGGAAGCUGGGAAAUGAUUUCUUCCAGACCAUGGCUGGAGAAGGAAAGAAGGUGUGUUUUGCCUGACUCAGUGACUAUAGAGAGAACCAAGUUCUGCAGGCCUGUCACCUAAGUCUCAGGGCGGGUAGACCUUCCUUCCCCACGGGUUUGAGGCUAUGGCUAAGUGGUGAGCCUUGGGGAGAUGCAGGAAGGAUCCAUCCCAGGCACUUGGCUAGAGGCUGAAUGCUAUCCCAGUGAUUGUACGUGCCCUGUUUGCUGAAUCUACUCAUCCUUAAGGGUACAUUUGCUUCCAGGUAACAUGUUUGUGAGUAAUACUACAAUGUGCAUAUAUCUAUUCCAUGUUCUGCUUUGUCUGUUUGGGAUAUUUUUCAUACACUGAUUCAGUACCAUGUGUAUUCCCUUGCUUUUGUUGUCUCAUCCGUUGAUGUUACGUCCCCCAAAUUAUUGCCACGACCAGUUGUCAUGAAGCUUCACCCUUCUGUAUUGUGCUAGGAAUUUUACAGCUAUAGGUUUUACAUUAUAGUCUUCAUUCAUUUUUUAAAAUUGACACAUGUAAUUGUGCAUAUUUUGGGGAAACAAUUAUAUAUAUAUGUUGUAUAACAAUAAAAAUCAGAGUACUUCUAUACUUGUUGCCUCAUGCAUUUGUUAUUUUUGUGGUGAGAAUAUUCAAAAGCUUCUUCUCUAGCUAUUUUAUUUUAUCUUUACGUAUUAAAUUUUUUUAGAGACAGGAUCUUGCUCUAACACCCAGACUGGUGUGCAGUGGUGCAAUCUUAGCUCACUGUAACUUCAAACAGUCUUCUAACCUUAGUUUCCCAAUUAGCUGAGACUACAGGAAGCUGCCACCAUGCCUGGCUAAUGUUUUAAUUUUUCAUACAGACGGGGUCACACUAUGUUGUCCAGGCUCAUCUUGAACUUCUGACGUCAAGUGAUUCUCCUACCUCAAUCUCCCAAAAUGUAUGGAUUGCAAGAAUAUGCCACCACAACUGGUCUCUUUUAGCUAUUUUGUAAUAUGAGAUAACUUUUCAUUAAUUAUUAUUAUUCUACUGUGUAAUAAAAAACAAAAACUUAUUUCCCCUAUCUAAUCAUAACACAAUACCUGUGAAGCAGCCUUUUCCCAUCCUCCUGCUUCAGUCUCUGGUAACCCCUGUUGUACUCUUUGCUUCUAUCAACCCUUUUUUUCAGGUUCCUCAAAUGAGUGAGAUAAUAAGAUCAUAAAGUAUUUGUGUUUCUCUAUGUGGGUUAUUUUACUUAACAUGGUAUGCUCAAGGUUCAUCCAUGCUCUUUUAACUGACAGAAUUUUAUCCUUUCUUAUGGCUGAAUAGUAUUUCGCUGUGUAUAUAUAGUACAUUUUCCUUAUCCAUUUAUCUGUUGCUGUACAUUUGAAUUGAUUCCAUAUAUAAGCUAUUAUAAAUAGUUCUGUAAUGAACAUGGGAAUGCAAAUAUCUUUUUGACACAGUAAUAUCCUUUCUUUUGGAUAUACACCCAGAAGUAAAAUUGCUGGAUCAUAUAAUAGAUAUAUUUUUAAUUUCUUUCAGAAACCUCCAUACUAUUUUCUAUAAUGGCCAUACUAAUUUACAAUUCCACCAACAAGGUAUACAUCCACUCUUUUUUAUAUCCUCAUUAGUUCUUGAUUUAUUUAUUUAUUUAUUUUUAUUAUAGCCAUUCCAAUGGGAAUGAGGUGGUACUUCAUUACGGUUUGGAUGUGCAUUUCCUUGGUGAUUAGUAAUGUAGAGCAUCUUUUUGUGUUCCAGUUAGCCAUUUUUUGUAUCUCUUUUUGACAAACAUCUAUUAAGAUCUUUUGCAUUUUUUAAAUUAGAUUAUAAGUGUAUUUUAUUUUGAGAUUUUAAAGUUUCUUAUAUAUUCUGAAUAUUAGCCUUUUGUCACAUGUAUAUGAAAACAUUUUCUGUCAUCGCCUAAGCUGUCUCUUCAAACUUUUAGUUGCUUUUUUAAUAUGAAAAAGCAUUUUAGUUUGACAUAAUGUUGUUUGUUUAUUCUCGAUUUUGCUGCCCGUGUUUUGAAAUCUUAUUUUAAUAAUCCUUUCACCGUCCAAUGUUAUAAAGCAUUUUUUAAUGUUUUUCUCUAAUAGUUUCAUAAUUGAUGGCAUUACAUUUAAGUCUUUAGUUUUAGUUGAUUAUCAUAUAUGGCAAGGUACAAGGGUCUAGUAUUAUUUUUCCGCAUAUAAAUAUUUAAAUGGCCCUGCACCAUUUAUUAAAGAGAUUAGCUUUUCUCUAAAGUGCGUUCUUGGUAAUUUUGUUGACAAUCAGUUGGCUUUAGGUGCAUAAAUUAACUUCUGGGCUUAUUGGGCACAUUAGUCUAUGUGUUUGUUUUUAUGCCAGUACAGUGCUGUUUUGGUUACUGUAGCUUUAUAGCAAGUUUUGAAGUUUGAUGAAGUGAUGCCUUUAGCUUUGCUUAUUUUGCUCAAAGUUGCUUUGUCUAUUCAGAGUUUUUUGUGGAUCCAUAUAAAUUUAAAUUUUUUUAUUUCUGUGAAAAAAUGUCAUUGGUAUUUUGAUAAAAAUCACAUUAAGUCUGUAGAUCACUUUGGGUAGCUAUAUCAACAGUAUUCUUCCAGUGUAUAAACAAAAUAUUUUUUAUUUAUUCAUUUGUAUUUUAUAUUUUUUAUCCAUGUUUUGUCGUUUUCAGAGUAGAGAUCUUUUACCUUUUUAGUUAAGUUUGUUGCUAGGUAUAUUAGUUGGGCUUCCCUAGAGAGAUCAUGAGAUCCCACAAUAGGUUGUCUGCAAGUUUGAGGAGCAAGGAGAGGCGGUCCAUGUCCCAAAGCUGAAGAACUUGGAGUCUGAUGUUUGAGGGCUGCAAGUGUCCAGCACAGGAGAAAGAUGUAGUCUGGGAGCUUAGGCCAGUCUCUGUUUUUCACGUUUUUCUGCCUGCUUUAUAUUCACUGUCAGCUCAUUAGAUGGUGCUCACCCAAUUAAGAGUGGAUCUCCCUUUCCCAGCCCACUGACUCAAAUGUUAAUCUCCUUUGGCAACACCCUCACAGACACACCCAGGAUCAAUGCUUUCUAUCCUCCAAUCCAAUCAAUUUGACUGCCAGUAUUAACCAUCACAUUAAGUAUUUUAAUUUUUGUAGCUUUUGCAUAUGCAGAAGAAGAAUUGGAUGAAAUUCAGCCUUGAUUAUGAUGAAAACUCUCAACAAGUUAGGAAUAGAAGGUAUGUGCCUUAACUCAAUAAAGGCCAUUUAUGAAAAAGCAAUGCUAACAUUAUACUGAAUAAGGAAAAGUUGAAAGCUUUCUCUCUGAGAUCUGGAACAAGACAAAUCGUCCAAACUUUCAGCCCUCUUAUUCAACAUAGUACUGGAAGUCCUAGCCAAGGAAAUUAGGCAAGAGGAAGAAAUAAAAGUCAUACUAAUUGGAAAGGAUGAAGUCAAAUGGUCUCUGAUUGUGGACAAAAUAAUCUUAUAUGUGAAAAACUCUAAACACUACACCAAAAACUAUUAGAACUACUAAACAAAUUCUGUAACAUUGCAGAAAAUUAACACAGUAGUAGCUUUCUGUAUGAUGAUAGUGAACUAUCUGAAAAAUAAAAUUUUAAAUUCCAUUUUAAUAGCUACCAAAAAUUAGUUAUUUUGAGUUUAUUUCUUUAUUUGUGGUGGAGUCUUUCUCUGUCACCAGGCUGGAGCACAGUGACAUGAUCUCAGCUCACUGAAACUCUUGCCUCCUGGAUUCCAGAGAUUCUCCUGCAUCAGCCGCCUGAGUGUCUGGAACAGCAGGCGUGUGCCACCACCGCCAACUAAUUUUUGUUUGUAUUUUUGUAGAGAUGUUGUUUCCCCAUGUUGGCCAGGAUGGUCUUGAUAUCCUGACCUUGUGAUUCACUUGUCUCAGUCACCCAAAGUGCUGGGAUUACAGGUGUGAGCCACCACACCCAGCCUUGAGUUUAUGUUUUUAUCUGUUGCAAGUUAAGGUCUAACUUUGUUAUUUUUUCCUUGUAAAUUUUUAUUAUUCCCAAUACUGUUUGUUGAAGAGACUGUUCUUUCCUUUUUGUGAUUCUUGGAACACAUUUUAAAAAUAUGUUUACUAUACCCAUGAGGACUUAUGUCUGGACUCUCUCAUCUGUUUCAUCAUUCAUUUGUCUUUAUGUCAGUACCAAACUGUUUUGAUUACUAUAUGUUCGUAGUAUGUUUAGAAAAUAGAAAGUAUGAUGCCUCUGUCUUUAUAUUUUUUUCCCAAUAUUGUUUGGCUGUUUGUGAUCACUUGAAAUUCCAUAAAAAUUGUAGAAUAUUUUAAAACUUCUGCAAAAAGUUUCAUUGUUAUUUUGAUAGAAAGUAUAUUGAAUCAGCUGAGGGUUGUGGCUCAUGCCUGUAAUCCCAGCACUUUGGGAGGCUGAGGAAGGUGGAUCACCUGAGGUCAGGAGUUCCAGACCAGCCAUGGAGAAACCCCAUCUCUACUAAAAAUACAAAAUUAGCCAGGUGUGGUGGCACAUGCCUGUAUUCCCAGCUACUCAGGAGGCUGAGGCAGGAGAACAGCUUGAACCCAGGAGGUGGAGGCUGCAGUGAACUGAGAUCACAACAUUGCACUCCACCUUGGGCAACAAGAGCAAAACUCCGUCUCAAAAUAAAAAGAAAGAAAAGAAAAGAAAGAACAUUGAAUCCGUAGACCACUUUUGGUAGUAGUGACAUUUUAACAAUAUUAAGUCUAUAACCUCUUGAACAAGAGUGUGUUUGAGAAUUUGUUGUUUAAUUUUUAUUUAUUCUUUGACAUGCUAGUGUUUUUAACUUCUUGUUUUAUUGUAUCAUAGUUAGGAAUAAUUUGUGUAAUUCCAUCUGCUGAAAUUUGCUAAGAUGUGUUUUUUAACUUAACAGGUGGUCUAUCUGGAAUAUUGUGGCAUGUGUGAUUAAAAGUAUUGCAUAUUCUACUGUUGAGUGGAGAGAUAUAAAUGUGACUGUUAGGUCUAAUUGUUCUAUUGUGUUGUUGAAAUCCUCUGUUUACUUAUUCAUCUUAUGUUUGUUUUUUUAAUUUACAUUACUAAAAGUCUGAUAAAAAAGUCAUCUACUGUUAUGUGCUGGCUACUUCAUGUUUCAAUUCUGUAAAAUGCUGCUUCAUAUUUUGGGAACUGUGAUGUAAGGCACAUACAUUACUGUUGCUUUUAUUGUUGCAUGUUGUUUUAUUGUUGUUGCUUUUAUUGAUGUAUGUUGUUUUUUGUUGCUUUUAUUGUUGUUGUUUUUAUUGUCCUUUUCUUCUUCUCUCUUGAGGAAGUUUUUGAUAUAAUAUAUAUUUUGUCUACCAUGACAGUAUUUGAUUUUGCAUUUAAUUUUUUUUAUUCUUUCAUGUAUGGCUUAUGCGUGUUCCAGAUCAUAAUGUGGUCAUUUGUAGGAAGCAGAGAGUUGAAUCUUGUUUCAUGAAUUUAUUUAGUGAAAGUAUGUUUUUGAUUGACAUAAUUUAUAUAUAUAAAAAAUCAUUACUAAAAGGGAAUGAUUUCCUAUGACUUUCUAUUGAAUUUUGUUUCUUUUUUGUUUUAGGUCCUGUAGCUUUUUCUUUUGAGACGGAGUUUUGCUCUGUUGCCCAGGCUGGAGUGCAGUGGUGCAAUCUUGGCUCCCUGCAAGCUCCGCCUCCCGGAUUCACGCCAUUCUUCUGCCUCAGAUUCCCCAGCAGCUGGGAAUUCAGGCACCCGCCACCAUGCCCGGCUAUUUUUAUUUUUAUUUGUUUUUUUUUUUAGUAGAGACAGGGUUUCACUGUGUUAGCCAGGAUGGUCUCAAUCUCCUGACCUCGUUGAUCCACCCACCUCGGCCUCCCAAAUUGCUAGGAUUACAGGCGUGAGCCACCGCUCCUGGCCGGUCCUGUAGCUAUUAUUUCCUGUUUUUCUCUCUUGUUCUCUUUCUUAGCGUAUUAUUGAUUUUUGUAGUGACAUGUUUUACUUCUUUUCUCACUACUCUCUCUGUGUGUAUGUCUUUGUGUGUGUGUACUAUAGGUAUUUCCUUUUUUUUUUUUUUUUUGACAGGGUCUUGCUCUGUCGCCCAGGCUGGAGGGCAGUGGCACAAUCUCUGCUUAUUGCAAGCUCUGCCUCUCAGGCUCAACUCAAACAAUCCUCCCACCACAGCCUUCUGAGUACCUGGGACCACAGAUGUGCACCAGUACUCCUGGCUAAUUUUUGUUAUUUUUCAUAGAGACAGGGUUUUGCCAUGUUGACCAGACUAGUCUCAAAAUCCUAAGUACUAUAGGUAUUUUCUUUGUUGUUACUAUAGAUAUUACCAAAAAUAACUACUAUAGCAUAUAAAACCCUGCCUCUUUAUGGCUGCCUAUGUGUUUUAUUGAUGUCGCGAAUUACAUCAUUUUGUAUUGUGAAUCUAUUGGCACAGUUAUAUAGUCAUUUUUAAGUCUUUGUUAUCUCAACUACAUAGCAGAAUUAAAAGUAUUCUGUGCAUCUUCAUUAUAAUAACAAAGAAUAUUAUAAUUGUGUACAUAAUUAUCUGUUAGAAAACUUUAUAUUUUACAUAAUUCUAUGUUGCUCUCAUCAUUAUUUUAUUUUUUAAUGUCAAUGACUAGCAUUUUUUUAUACAGGCCUACUGUGUAUAAAUUAAUACAGUUUUCGUUGAUCUUGAAUAUUCUUUAUUUUUAUUUUUUAAUUCAUUUGAAAUGAUAGCUUUGGCAGACAUAGUGUUCUUGGUUGGUACUUGCCAUUUUUUUCAGCACUUUGAGUAUGUCAUCCUACAACCUCUUGCCUGCAUGCUAUUGGCUGAGACAUCUGCUGGUCAUCCUAUAGGGGUAACAUUGUACAUGCUAAGUCAUUUUUUCUUGCUGACUUCAAGAUUCUCGGUGUUUUAACUUUUGAAUCUCUGAUUAAAAUGUGUCUUGUCAUGGGUCUCCCUGUGUUGCUACUAGUUGGUAAAGUUUCAUUAAAUUUUAGGCCAUUUUCUCCCUCAAAUUUUGAGAGUUCUCAGCCACUGUUUGUUUCUUGAAAUAACUUUGCUGCUCUCUUUUCUCUCUUUUUAUUUUAGAAUUCCCAUUAGAAGUAUAUUGGCCAUCUUAAUGGUAUCCCAUAAGUCCCUUAGGCUUUCUUAAUUUUUAAAAUUAUUUUUACCCUCCUCACCAUAUAAUUUCAAAAGACUUCUUAUGAAGCUUGCUGGAUUUUUUCCUGCUAGAUCAAACCAGUUGUUGGACCUUCUAGUGAAUCUCUAAAUUCAGGUAUUUUAUUUUUCAGCUCCACACUUUAUGUUUCUAUUUUGUACUUUUAAUCACUUCGUUGAUAAUCUCAUUAUCUUCAUGAAUUGUUUUCUUUUUCUGUUUAGCUUUCUAUGUUCUUCUUUAGCUGAAUGAGCAUCUUUAAGCUAGGUGUUUUAGCCAGGCACAAUGAUAUGUGUGUCUAAUUCCAGCUACUUUGAAAGCUAAGGCAAGGGGAUUACUGUAUUAAUAAAUUCUCAUGCAGCUAAUAAAGACAUAACCAAGACUGGAUAAUUCAUAAUGAAAAAGGUUAAUGGCCUCACAGUUUCACAUGGCUGGGGAGGUCUCACAAUUAUUGGAGCAAGCAAGAGACUUUGUUCAGAGGAAUCUCCACUUAUAAAACCAUCAGAUCACAUGAGACUUUUUUGCUAUCAUGAGAACAGCACGGGAAAAUCCCACCCCCAUGAUUCAAUUACCUCCCACAUGGUCCCUCCCAGGACAUAUGGGGAUUAUUACAAUUCAAGAUGAGAUUUGGUUGGGGACAGAGAGCCAAACCAUAUCAAUUACUUAAGGCUAGGAGUUUGAGACCACCCUGGGCAAUAUUGUGAGAAGCUAUAUGUAAAAAAUAUUUUUACAGAUUAAUCAUGAAUGGUGGAAUGUUCCUGUAGUCUCAGGAAGUCGGAGGCUGAUGUAAGAUUAUUCCUUGAGUUCCCAGGAAUUUGAGGCUGCAUUGAGUUAUAACCAUGAUAUUGUAUUCCUGUCUGGGUGAGAGAGUAAGACCGCCUUUUAGAAUUUCAAAUUUGUUUUAGAUUUAGGAGGUACCUACACAGGUUUUUUACAUGGGUAUUUUGUAUAGUGCUGAGGUUUGAAAUGUAAGUAAUUCCAUCACUUAUGCAGUGAGCAUAGUACUAAAUAGACAGUUUUUCAGUUCUUGAUCCCUCCCUCUCUCCACCCUCUAAGAGUUGUCUUUUAUUUUUAUUUUUAUGUCCAUGUGUACCCAGUGUUAAUUUCCAUUUAUAAGUGAGAACAUCAGUAUUUUUGUUUUCCAUUUCUGCAUUAAUUUGAUUGUAGAAUGACCUUUAGUUGUAUUAAUGUUGCUGCAAAGGACAAGUUUUUUUUUUGUUGUUGUUGUUUUUGCUAAGUAGUAUUGCUGUACAUGUGACACUUUUUAAAUUCAAUUUAGCAUUAAUAGGCUGGACACGGUGGCUGAUGCCUGUAAUCCCAGCACUGUGGGAGGCCAAGGUGAGUGGAUCAUGAGGUCAGGAGAUCGAGACCAUCCUGGACAGCAUAAUGAAACCCCCGUCUCUACUGAAAAUACAAAAGUUAGCCGGACGUGUUGUCAUGAGCCUGUAGUCCCAGCUACUCGGGUGGCUGAGGCAGGAGAAUUGCUUGAACCUGGGAGGUGGAGGUUGUAGUGAGCUGAGAUAGUGCCACUGCACUCCAGCCUGGGCAACAGAGUGAGACUUCAUCUAAAAAAAAAAAAAAUACCAUUAAUAGUCACGUAGGUUGAUUCAUGUCUUUCCUGUUAUAAAUAAUGCAGUGAUGAACCAACAAGUGCAUGUGCUAUUUUGGUAGAAUAGUUUAUUCUCUUCUGGGUAUACACCCAGCGGUGAAAUUGCUGCGUUGAAUCAUAGUUCAACUCUCAGUUAUUUGGAAAAUCUCCAAGCUGCUCUCCACAGUGGCUGAACUAAUUUAUAUUCCUAUAAACAGUGUAUAAGUGGUUUUUUCCCUCUAAAACCCCACCAAUAUCUACUAUCAUUUUACUUUUUAACAAAAGCCAUUCUAACUGGUGUACGAUGGUGUCUUACUGUGGUUUUUAUUUACAUUUCCUUGAUGGUUAGUGAUAAGCUUUUUUCAUGUUGUUUGGCCACUUGUAUGUAUUCUUUUGAACAUUGUCUGUUAUUGCCCACUUUUUCAUGGGGUAAUUUUUUGCUUGUGAAUUCUUUAAGUUUCUUAUAGAUUCUGAGUAUUAGAUUUUGUCAGGUUUAUAGGUUGUGAAUAUUUUUGCCAUUCUGCCAGCUUUGGGGUUAGUUUGUUUUUGUUUUUCUAGUUUCUCUAAGUGUGAUGUUAAAUUGUUAGUUUGAGAUCAUUCUAACUUCUUGAUGCAGGUAUUUAGCACUCUCAACUUUCCUCUUAACAGAGCUUUUCCUACAACCCAGACAUUUUAGUAUAUUGUGUCUCUUCAUUUAUUUCAAAUUUUUUUUAAGUUUCUGCCUCAAUUUUGUUGUUUACCCAAAAUUCAUUCAGGAGCAAGUUGUUUAAUUUCAAUGCCAUUCUGUGAUUUUGUGAGAUUUUCUUGGUAUUGAUAUUUAUCUUUUUUCCAUUGUGGCCUGACAGUAUGGUUGGCAUAAUUUUCAUUUUUAAAAAAUGUAUGGAUAAUUGCUUUAUGGCUAGGAAGUGGUCAAUCCUAGAGUAUAUUCUGUGAGCGAUGAGAAGAAUUUAUGUUCCUUAGAUGAUGUGUGGUGUAUACUAUAAAUGUCUAUUAGUUUCAAUUGAUCAAGUGCGAAAUCAAACUCCAGAAUUUCUUUGUUAAGUUUCUGCCUAGAUAAUCUGACAAACACUGUUAUUGGGGAGUUGCGUUUCCCUACUAUUAUUGCGUGGCUACUUGAGUCUUAUUGUAGGUCUAGCAGUACUUGUUGUAUAACUCUAUGUUCCCCAAAGUUGGGUGCAUCUACAUUUAGGAUAGUUAAGUCUUCUUGUUGAAUUGAACCCUCUAUCGUUAUGCAAUGCCUUUCUUUGUUUUAUUUUACUAUUAAUGAUUUAAAGUCCUUUUUUCUUAAAAGAGAAACAAUUCCAGGUAUGGUGGCUCAUGCCAGCACUUUCAGACUGAGGCAGUAGGAUUGCCUGAGACCAGGAGUUUGAGACCAGCCGAGGCAACAUAACAACAUUCUGUUUGUACAGAUUCUUUUAAAGAAACUAUACAGGUGUGGUAGUGUGCCCAACUGUGGUCAUAUUUACUCAGGAGACAUAGGAGGCAUGACUGCUUUACUUCAGAAAUUUGAGGUUACAGUGAGCUGUGAUUGCACCACUGCAAUCUGUCCCAGGAGAUAGAGUAAGAUCCUGUGUAUAAAAUGAAAAAAUAAAGAAAAAUAAAAUGAUUUUAAGUUAAAAAAUAAUUCAUAGAUCUCCGCUUCUUUAGGGUCACUUGAAUAUAUAUUUUUCUCGUUUCAUUAGGCUAUAUUUCCUGGUUGCUUUUAUGUACUGUGGUUUUGUUAAGGUUUUGGUCAAUUAAGAAACCACUACCUAUUUUAUCCUUUAUGAAAAAGCUUGUACAUGGGAAAAUUGACAAUAUUCAGCCACACUAGUCAUUCCGGGAGCUUCUCCAAUCUGUUGUCAAAAUGUGUCUUCUUUGGACUACUGUAUGUAUUUUCUUGUUAAUAAGGUUUACCUCUCUUUCCUCUUAGGAGCCUUUAGUCUCUUCUCUUUGUCACUGUUGCAGGCACUACAGUCUCUUUGUUGUAAGAAACAUUUAUCUUUAUUCUCAGUCGACCCAAGCUGUCAUUUAAACUCUAUCUCUAUUCUGGUCAACACUAAAUGUUAAAGGUAUAAAUCAAUAAGUCAGAAGUUUGCAUACACGUUUCACUCUGUUUUCUUUCCCGAGGGAGAAUCAUGGAAUGGACAGAAUUUUAUCUAACUGCACUGUUCUGUAGUGCACAAAUGUAACCAAAUUUUCUUUCUUCUAAAUGUGGUUAUGGUUGGCUUUUUUCUCAUGAGGGGUGCUACAAACUCAACUGGCUUUGCUCACCCAAUUGCAGUUAAGUUCAUACAUCCAUUGAGAGAAACAGGAUCUCAGGUUCUUCUUCAACUAUCAUUGUGUUCUCAGCUGGCCUCAUUUUGUUCAUUAGAUUUAUAAAAUAUAUUUACCUUAAUUUCAUCACCGAAUUUUUUAAAAAAUUAUUAUUUUCCAGCUCUUUUAGCAUUAUAUCCAACAAGAACCAGAGAAAACAGUACAUAGGAGCUUCUUUUCAAAAAGUAAUAUUGGGAAGAUAUGGGAGCUCUGGCCUUGAAAAUUUACACUUAAGGAGAGUGGGAAGUUGAAGGAUAAGUGUAAAGGGUACAAAGGAUGCUAUGAUGAAUAUACCAGAUAUAGAGCAACUACCUACAGCAAAAAUGUCACUGCUAGAAGAGCUCAAAACCAUAAAGUAUUUUGGAAAAAGCAUAAUUAAUGUUGAUUCUUUUUUCUGAACUAUAUAUUUGUAUAAUUACAUAUCAAUAACAAUUUUUGAAACAUCAUGUUUUUGAAACAAAAUUUAGAAAAUCGCAAUAGUGGCCUAGGCCAGGAAUAUAUCUUCUAAUGCUAUCCCUCCCAUAGUCCCCCACUUCCUGACAGGCUCCAGUGUGUGGUGUUCCCCUUCCUGUGUCCCUGUGUUCUCUUUGUUUAACUCCCAACUAUGAGAGAGAACAUGUGAUGUUUGCUUUUCUACUCUUGUGUUAGUUUGCUGAGAAUGCUGGUUUCCAGCUUCAUCCAUGUCCCUGCAAAGGACAUGAACUCAUCCUUUUUAUGACUGCAUUGUAUUCCAUGAUGUAUACAUGCCACAUUUUCUUUAUUCAUUCUACCACUGAUGGGCAUUUGGUUUGGUUCAAAGUUUUUGCUCUUGUGCACAGUGCCAUAAUAAACAUAUGUUUGCAUGUGUCUAAGUAGUAGAAUAAUUUAUAAUCAUUUGGUUAUAUACCCAGUAAUGGGAUUGCUGGAUCAAAUGGUAUUUCUCAUUGUAGAUCCUUGAGGAAUUGCCAUACUGUCUUCCACAAUGGUUGAACUAAUUUACACUCUCACCAACAGUGUAAAAGUGUUCCUAUUUCUCCACAUCCUCUCCAGCAUCUGUUGUUUCCUGAUUUUUCCAAUGAUCACCAUUCUAACUGGAGUGAGAUGGUUUCUCACUGUGUUUUUGAUUUGCAUUUAUCUAAUGACCAGUGAUGAUGAGUUUUUUUUUCAUAUGUUUGUUGGCUGCAUAAAUGUCUUCUUUUCAGAAGUGUCUGUUCAUGUCCUUUGCCCAUUUUUGAUAUGGUUGUUUGUUUUUUUCUUGUAAAUUUGCUUAAGUUUUUUGUAGAUUCUGCAUAUUAGCCCAUUGUCAGAUGGAUAGAUUGCAUAAAUUUUCUCCUUUCUGUGGGUUGCCUGUUCACUCUGAUGAUAGUUUCUUUUGUUGUGAAGAAGCUCUUUACUUUAAUUACAUCUCGUUUGUCAAUUUUGGCUUUUGUUGCCAUUGUUUUUGCUGUUUUAGUCAUGAAGUCUUUGCCCACGCCUAUGUCCUGAAUGGUAAUGCCUUUGUUUUUUGGGGGGUUUUUAUGGUUUUAAGUCUUACAUUUAAGUCUUUAAUCCAUCUUCAGUUAAUUUUUGUAUAACUAGUAAGGAAGACGUCCAGUUUCAUUUUUUUGCAUAUGGCUAUCUAGUUUUCCCAACACCAUUUAUUAAAUAAGGAAUCCUUUCCCCAUUACUUGUUUUUGUCAGGUUCAUCAAAGAUCAGAUGGUUGUAGAUGUUUGAUGUUAUUUCUGGGGCCUCUGUUCUGUUCCAUUUGUCAAUAUAUCUGUUUUGGUACCAGUACCAUACUGUCUUGGUUACUGUGGCCUUUUAGUAUAGUUUGAAGAUAGCUAGUGUGAUGCCUCCACUUUUGUUCUUUUUGCUUAGGAUUGUCUUGUCUAUGCAGGAUCUUUUUUGAUUCCAUAUGAAAUUUAAAGUAGUUUUUUUUCUAAUUAUGUAAAGAAAGUCAAUGGGAGCUUGAUGGGGAUAACACUGAAUUUAUAAAUUACUUUGGGCAGUAUGGCCAUUUUCACAAUAUUGAUUCUUCCUAUCCAUGAGCACGGAUUGUUUUUCAUUUGUUUGUGUCCUCUCUUAUUUCCUUGAGCAGUGGUUUGUAGAUCUCCUUGAAGAAGUCCUUCCCAUCCCUUUUAAGUUGGAUUCCUAGGUAUUUUAUUCUCUUUGUAACAAUUGUGAAUGAGAGUUCAUGCAUGAUUUGGCUCUCUGUUUGUCUAUUAUUGUGUAUAGGAAUUCUUGUGAUUUUUGAACACUGAUUUUGUAUACUGAGACUUUUUUGAAGUUGCAUAUUGGUUUAAGGAGAUUUUGGGCUGAGACGAUGGGGUUUUCUAAAUAUACAAUCAUGUCAGCUGCAAACAGAGACAACUUGAGUUCCUCUUCCUAUUUGAUUACGCUUUGUUUCUUUCUCUUGACUGAUUGCCCUGGCCAGAACUUCCAAUACUAUAUUGAAUAGGAGUGAUGAGAGAGGGUAUUCUUGUUUUGUGCAGAUUUUCAAAAGGAAUGUUUCAAGUUUUUCCCAUUCAGUAUAUUGGCUGUGCGUUUGUCAUAAAUAGCUCUUAAUAUGUUGAGAUAAGUUCCAUCAAUACAUAAUUCAUUGAGAGUUUUUACCAUGAAGAGGUGUUGAAUUUUGCUGAAGGCCUUUUUUGCAUCUAUUGAGAUAAUCAUGUGGUUUUUGUCAUUAGUUCUGUUUAUGUGAUGGAAUACAUUUAUUGAUUUGCAUAUGUUGAACAAGCUUUGCAUCCGAGGGAUUAAGCUGACUAGAUCGUGGUGGAUAAGCUUUUUGAUGUGCUGCUGGAUUCGGUUUGCCAGUAUUUUAUUGAGGAUUUUCGCAUCGAUAUUCAUCAGGGAUACGGGCCUGAAAUUUUCUUUUUCUGGUGUGUCUUUGCCAAGUUUUGGUUUCAGGAUGAUGCUGGAUGCAUAAAAUGAGUUAAGGAGGAGUACCUCUUUUCUAUUGUUUGAAAUAGUUUCAGAAGGAAUGGUACCAGCUCCUCUUUGUACCUUUGGUAGAAUUCGGCUGUGAAUCCUUCUGGUUCUGGACUUCUUUUGGUUGGUAGGCUAUUAGUUACUGCCUCAAUUUUAGAACUUGUUAUUGGCAUAUUCAGGCAUUCGACUUCUUACUGGUUUGGACUUGGGAGGGUAUAUGUGUCCAGGAAUUUAUCCAUUUCGUCUAGAUUUUCUAGUUAAUUUGCAAAGAGUUUUUUAUAAUAUUCUCUAAUGGUAAUUUUUAUUUCUGUGGAUCAAUGGUUAUAUCCCCUUUAUCAUUUCCUAUUGCAUGUAUUUGAUUCUUCUCUUCUUCCUUAUUACUCUGGCUAGCAGUUUAUUUAUUUCUUGAUCUUUUCAAAAAAACAGCUCCUGGAUUCGUUGAUUUUUUGGACGGGCUUUUUGUGUGUCUAUCUCCUUCAGUUCUGCUGUGAUCUUAAUUAUUUCUUGUCUUCUGCUAGCUUUUGAAUUUGUUUGCUCUUGCUUCCCUAGAUUUUUAAUUGUGAUAUUAUGAUGCCGAUUUUAGACCUUUUCUGCUUUCUCUUGUGGGCAUUUAGUGCCAUAAAUUUCCCUUUGCACACUACUUUAGCUGUGUCAUAUUUUAAUUUUUAAGCCCUCAAUCUUUCUUUUUCAUCAUGACAGUCUUGACUGUUUUAUGUUUAUGAAAACUGUAAAAUUGUCUACACAGUUUUUACAAAGACUUUACCAAAAUAUUUUAUUGAGAAUGUACAAACCUGUCAGUUAAUUAGGGGAGAAGUUGCAUUGUAGUAAUAAAUAGCCACAAAACAAAACCCUGAAGGACAUCCAAACCAGAAUAAAACAAAACAUUUUAACAAAGAGAAAAAGAACAAUCUCGCAACAAAUAUGUGCAGUUUAUAUCACAAAGAUGUUCACAUCUCCACUUUAAAGAGAGCUUUUAGAAGUUGAUUUAAAAUAUGGGAAAAGACAUUAUCCCACACCACAGAAAAAAUAAAUUUAAGCAGCUCUUAACACAUGAACGUAUUAUCAAGCUCAGAUGGAAUCAAAAUUAAAUAUUUGACAACAGAUUCUACAGUUUGAGAGAAAUAGAAAAGUGUUUUUUUCUUUUCUCCAGGUCCACAAGUCUAGUUUCUUGGACUCUCUCACUAUAAUGGAGGUUGUCAUCAGCUCCCCAAAAUAAGGGAAGCACAGAGCAGAUGGUGGCUGAAGGUGGGGAAUCCUGUGAAAUCAUAUUUAAGAUCAUAGCCCGUGGUCCAUUGUAUUGUAAUCAGCUGGCUCAGGAAAGAAGAUCUGGAUCUCCUGAGCUCUACACCUACUGCAAUGGAUAUGUCAGGAGUCCCGAGAACCUCUGGGGCCCAAACCCCUCCCACCAAAAUAUAUCAUCCAGUAUUGAGGACUCUGACACCAAAUUCUCACAGAGCAUAUGCUUAUGCAAUUUUACAUUUAAUUUCUCAUUACAUUACAAUUGGGAAAAUGAGGCCCCAAAAGAGGCAGGGACUGAUCCAGAUCUCAGGAGGUGGGCAGGCUCCAGAGCAUUAGAGAGAGCUCCAGCUUCCUAGGCCUUGGCUCCAUCCCACCUAUCAGGUUUGCUUUGGAAGUUAGAGCCUGUAGCUUCACAUUCAGGGGCACAGAGAAUGAGCAGAUCCAGGGUUCUGUUCACAUGGGGACCUCUCCAUGUCAAUUUCAAGAUGACAGGACUGGGGUUUUGCAUCCAGCUCUGAGGGCACCUGGAAGUAAAAUGAGCUAUGCUCCACCUCAGCCUAAUGUAGAGAAUGCCUGCAGGAAAGCCUGUUUUCUUCCUCAUAAAUAGGGCUGUUUGAACUGGGUGACCUCGACGAUUUCACAUACUCAUAAGUGUCUUCCAGCCCUGAUUCUUGCUCUGAGACUGUGCAGAAAUGCAUCCACUCUCUGUAGGUCCUUCAAAUCAGAGGGAGGCAUGGCCACUUCAGAGGCAUCUUGGGUAGAUGAAGAUGAGACGGAGCUAAAUGUUCCAGAGCAUUGGACUCUGAGGCUGAAGUCCACGGAAAAUCCCAGCUCCUGUUGGGUUCUUAAGGUCCUCAUUUGAAAGUGGUAGAAACUAAUUUCACUGGAUAAGGGGAGGAUAUCUCAUGGAUAAAUAGCACAACCCAAAAGGUAGAGGCAAAUAGAAGGCAAAGGGGGAUUCCAAGGUCACUCAUUGUACUUGGGGCCUUCAGAUUCUGCUACUUUAUCCCCUAGGACCUUGAAGAACCAGUGUCUUGAGGACAGAAAAAUCAAGAUACCUGAUUUGUUCCAUAGUGCUCCUGCAUUGGGCCAUAGAGUUAGUGAUGGCCUGGAGGUGGUUACAGCCAGCUCUGUUUCUGGUGCCCACUGAGCUUUGCUGGAGCAGCUGGAACAAGUAAGAGUCACACAUCUCAUGUUGUUAUCAAUGAUCUCCACAUUAUCAGGUGGUCAAAAGAGGAAGGGAUAUUAGAGAUCCUCCAUAUAAUCACUUAGCCAGUCUUUUUUCCCUUGCGCUCACCCUUUGCCAGCUAACCAGGUGGGUGCAACGUGGUACAGAAAAUUAUUACAUGAUGCCUGCACCCCCCAACCCAGGACCAAACAUUCUGAGGACAGCUGGAUAAAAGCACUAAAGCAAGUAUAUGUGAAAGAAAAGAGGAAGGACUAUAAUAUAAAGUGGAAUGUUGAGAAGAAAAGCUGGAAAAUUAUUGCAUGGGAGGAACUAAGGCCUCAUUGUGGUGAUGUUUAAUCCAUGAUAAGGAUGACAACAGGGAGACAUCUCUGCACAAGUAUGUGUCAGGGAGAAGCCACCCUUAGUGAAGAGACUCAUAGGUGUGAGUUCGGCAGAGGUUAGAAAGUUUGGCUGCAGACAGCCUGAGGAAGAUAUAAGUAGAGGGAUGGAGAAUACUAGGGCCUGGGAGAUGAGGCUAGAUAUCUGCUCCUUUCUGACAACAUUGCCCUAAAAGUCAGCACUUUUCAACAACAUAUAAUAUCUCAUAAUUUAUGUGGACCAGAAUCUGGACACAGUUCAGUUGGGUACCUCUGCCUUUAGGUCUUUUAUGACAUUGGGACUGUGGUCUUAACUGAAGCUGGACUGGGAAAGCAUGAGCCUUUAAGCUGACUCAUGUGAAAAUUGGCAGGGUUUAGUGUGGCUGGAGAGCCUGACUUUCCUUCUCUCUACUGGUCUGAGCACCCCCUCAGGCUCUGUUAUGUUGGUCUUUACAUGGAGCAUCUCAUAGCAUUGAAGCUUGCUUCCUGUGUUUGAGGUAUACAAUAGAGAGAGAGAAUUAGACAAAAAGGUGUACACAAAAAGAGACAGAGAAAGAUUGAGGGCGCAAACAGGAAAAACCCAGUAGGAGAAAAAUGAGAGCUUUA